rnacentral:rRNA from 1 species
GACGAACGCUGGCGGCGUGCUUAACACAUGCAAGUCGAACGGAAAGGCCCUGCUUUUGUGGGGUGCUCGAGUGGCGAACGGGUGAGUAACACGUGAGUAACCUGCCCUUGACUUUGGGAUAACUUCAGGAAACUGGGGAUAAUACCGGAUAGGAGCUCCUGCUGCAUGGUGGGGGUUGGAAAGUUUCGGCGGUUGGGGAUGGUAUCGCGGCUUAUCAGCUUGUUGGGGGGGGGGUGGCUUACCAAGGCUUUGACGGGUAGCCGGCCUGGGAGGGUGACCGGCCACAUUGGGCUUGGGGUACGGCCCAGACGCCAUCGGGGGGCAUGGGUGGGGACUUUAGCACAAUGGGCGGAGGCCGGAUGCAGCACCUCCGGGUUCGGGAGGACGGCCUUCGGGUAGUAAACCGCUUUCGCCUGUGACGAGGCGGGAGGGCGGUAACUGGGGAAAGAAGCACCGGCUACUUCCUU